rnacentral:lncRNA from 7 species
AAGAAGUAUGCAAGCCAGCAAGGGUACAUUCAAAGUACUGAGAGCAGCUUCAUCUGCAAAAAAUGAAUGGCUGUAGAAGAGAUAACAAUAAGUGAAGAAGAGAUCAGAGGGAAGUCAUGCUUCAUACGUGUACGCCUUUGUUUCCACAGCAUGCGUUUGCUCAUCACAACCAUCACAGGAUCUGAGCUUGCCACCUCUACAAAUCUGCAGAGCUCACAGCUUGUGAUACUUUUCAAAUUAGCUUGGAAAUGACUUCUCACCUGCAAGUGAUUGCCUCAUUAUUCUCUUCUAUGCUGACCUUAGCCUACUUGAAACAAGGAGUUCACCAAAUCAAUGCAGCAUUUUAUGGUGCUGUAGACUUAGAGUGAGAGUUUCCAAGGACCUGUAUUUAAGGUGGACAACUUACCACUAAACAGACAGGGAGACAAUGGUAAAUGGUUGAAUUCUUCCUCCCCUUUCAGUGCUCAAUAGUUGGGGUGAAAAACAGCAUCAAAUUUGCAGAGCUAGAGCACAAUAAUCCAGAUUCAUCUUUACUAUUUAAGAUUUUUUAGUUAUAAGCAGUGUUUACAACCUACUGCGGUGUACUAGCAGCCUUUGCAAGGCUGCAGCAAUAUUCAGUACUACAUGUAUGCUGUAUUUCAUGAAAAACAGAAGUUCAUGUAAUGUGACCUUGUAUAUGUCUACAUUCAAAUGUAAUAUUUUUCUGCUUUUUAAUCCUUCUUUAAUAUUAGUAGAAAUCUGGCUCAGAGCUGUACAGUACCAUAGCCUUUUAUAUAUUUCUUGACCUCUCUUUCGGAUAAAGAUUCUGAUGGCAAUGUAUUAUGAAUACCAGUCAGUCUGAGGCCUAAAUGUAAUUUUUUUGAGCAAAGUAUUCUCUGACCAAAUAUAUUUUUGGUAAAAAAUCCAUAAAUUUUUUAUUGUUCCUAUUCUGCAACCCUGCAAAUAUGGUAGAAACGUGUCUUUUUUCUGCUUCAAAGAUAAUGUUUUAUGCAAUUGUGUCAUUUGAAUGAAGGCAGGAAAUAAAAUCGUUUGCUAUCCC